rnacentral:rRNA from 1 species
ACUUAGCGGCGGACGGGUGAGUAACACGUGGGCAACCUGCCUAUAAGACUGGGAUAACUUCGGGAAACCGGAGCUAAUACCGGAUAAUGCUUUUUCUCACAUGAGAGAAAGCUGAAAGAUGGUUUCGGCUAUCACUUAUAGAUGGGCCCGCGGCGCAUUAGCUAGUUGGUGAGGUAACGGCUCACCAAGGCGACGAUGCGUAGCCGACCUGAGAGGGUGAUCGGCCACACUGGGACUGAGACACGGCCCAGACUCCUACGGGAGGCAGCAGUAGGGAAUCUUCCGCAAUGGACGAAAGUCUGACGGAGCAACGCCGCGUGAGUGAUGAAGGUUUUCGGAUCGUAAAACUCUGUUGUUAGGGAAGAACAAGUAUCGGAGUAACUGCCGGUACCUUGACGGUACCUAACCAGAAAGCCACGGCUAACUACGUGCCAGCAGCCGCGGUAAUACGUAGGUGGCAAGCGUUGUCCGGAAUUAUUGGGCGUAAAGCGCGCGCAGGCGGUUCCUUAAGUCUGAUGUGAAAGCCCACGGCUCAACCGUGGAGGGUCAUUGGAAACUGGGGAACUUGAGUGCAGAAGAGAAGAGCGGAAUUCCACGUGUAGCGGUGAAAUGCGUAGAGAUGUGGAGGAACACCAGUGGCGAAGGCGGCUCUUUGGUCUGUAACUGACGCUGAGGCGCGAAAGCGUGGGGAGCAAACAGGAUUAGAUACCCUGGUAGUCCACGCCGUAAACGAUGAGUGCUAAGUGUUAGAGGGUUUCCGCCCUUUAGUGCUGCAGCAAACGCAUUAAGCACUCCGCCUGGGGAGUACGGCCGCAAGGCUGAAACUCAAAGGAAUUGACGGGGGCCGCACAAGCGGUGGAGCAUGUGGUUUAUUCUAAGCAACGCGAGGAACUUACCAGGUCUUGANUCUCUGCCACCCUAGAGAUNGGGCGUUCCCUUCGGGGNCAAAUGACAGGNGGGGCUGGU